rnacentral:rRNA from 1 species
CCUACGGGAGGCAGCAGUGGGGAAUAUUGCACAAUGGGGGAAACCCUGAUGCAGCCAUGCCGCGUGUGUGAAGAAGGUCUUCGGAUUGUAAAGCACUUUAAGUUGGGAGGAAGGGCAUUAACCUAAUACGUUAGUGCUUUGACGUUACCGACAGAAUAAGCACCGGCUAACUCUGUGCCAGCAGCCGCGGUAAUACAGAGGGUG